UGGGGAAUAUUGCGCAAUGGGCGAAAGCCUGACGCAGCAACGCCGCGUGCGGGAUGACGGCCUUCGGGUUGUAAACCGCUUUCAGCAGGGACGAAACUGACGGUACCUGCAGAAGAAGCACCGGCUAACUACGUGCCAGCAGCCGCGGUGAUACGUAGGGUGCGAGCGUUGUCCGGAAUUAUUGGGCGUAAAGAGCUCGUAGGCGGUCUGUCGCGUCGGAAGUGAAAACUCGGGGCUCAACCCCGAGCCUGCUUUCGAUACGGGCAGACUUGAGGAAUGUAGGGGAGAACGGAAUUCCUGGUGGAGCGGUGGAAUGCGCAGAUAUCAGGAGGAACACCAGUGGCGAAGGCGGUUCUCUGGACAUUAACUGACGCUGAGGAGCGAAAGCGUGGGGAGCAAA
rnacentral:rRNA from 1 species